UGAAGAUGAGUGAGUGAGUGAAUGGUUAAGGUCAAGGAAUAUGUGGUCUGAAAAAAACACCUUUUUGGGUGUAUCUCAACAACCGAGAAGCCCAGAUGGAUGA